AUUUUAUCAAAACAGAAGAUGCAUGACGAGUUAGGGUUUAGAAUAGAUUUGUAGUUGAGGACCGUGUUGGAACCACCACCGGUUGGGUGCGGUGGAUGAAGGAAGAAGACGAAGGACAAAUAAAAGAUGUAUUUCAGAUUGAUUUUACGUUUAUUAGAAUUUCAUAAUUAUUUUCGGUAAAUAAUUAAAUACAAUUUUAUAAAUAAAGGAAAGUACAGGGACUAAAGUGUGAGAAGUGAAAAUCUUCCCUGGUCAAACGCUGACAAGGCAUGAGA
rnacentral:lncRNA from 1 species